AACGGCCAUACCAUGCUGAAUAUACCGGUUCUCGUUAGAUCACCGAAGUCAAGCAUCAUUGGGCGCGGUCAGUACUUGGGAGGGUGACCACCUGGGAACACCGCGUGCCGUU